CCUACGGGUGGCAGCAGUGAGGAAUAUUGGUCAAUGGACGAGAGUCUGAACCAGCCAAGUAGCGUGAAGGAUGACUGCCCUAUGGGUUGUAAACUUCUUUUAUAUGGGAGUAAAAUGUUCCACGUGUGGGAGUUUGUAUGUACCAUAUGAAUAAGGAUGGGCUAACUCUGGGCCAGCAGCCGCGGUAAUACGGAGGAUCCGAGCGUUAUCCGGAUUUAUUGGGUUUAAAGGGAGCGUAGGUGGAUUGUUAAGUCAGUUGUGAAAGUUUGCGGCUCAACCGUAAAAUUGCAGUUGAAACUGGCAGGCUGGAGUACAGUAGAGGUGAGCGGAAUUCGUGGUGUAGCGGUGAAAUGCGUAGAUAUCAGGAAGAACUCCGGUUGCGAAGGCGGUUCACUGGACUGCAACUGACACUGAGGCUCGAAAGUGUGGGGAUCAAACAGGAUUAGAUACCCUUGUAGUC
rnacentral:rRNA from 1 species